UGAGUAACACGUGGGCAACAUGCCUGUAAGACUCGGAUAACUUCGGGAAACCGAAGCUAAAACCGGAUAGGAUCUUCUCCAUCAUGGGAGAAGAUUCAAACAUGCAUUACCGCUAUCACUUACAGAUGGGCCCGCGGUGCAUUAGCUAGUUGGAGAGCUAACGGCUAACCAAGGCAAAGAUGCAUAGCCGACCUCAGAGCGUGAUCGGCCAGACUGGGACUGAGACACGGCCCAGACUCCUACGGGAGGCAGCUGUAGGGAAUCUUCCGCAAUGGACGAAAGUCUGACGGAGCAACGCCGCGUGAGUGAUGAAGGCAUUCGGGUCGUAAAACUCUGAUGUUAGGG
rnacentral:rRNA from 2 species